rnacentral:rRNA from 1 species
GAUUAACGUUGGCAGUGUGCCUAACACAUGCAAGUCGAGCGAUAUAGCGGCAGACGAGAGAGUAAUAACAAGGAACUUACCCCUUAGCGGAGGAUAGCCCACCGAAAGGUGGGGUAAUCCUGCAUAAUGUCGAGAGACCAAAGCCUUCGGGCACUAAGGGAGAGGCCUUGUUCCUAUCAGCUAGUUGGCGGGGUAAUAGCCCACCAAGGCGAUGACGGGUAGCUGGCCUGAGAGGGUGACCAGCCUCGAUGGGACUGAGACACGGCCCAUACUCCUACGGGAGGCAGCAGUUGGGGAUUUUGCACAAUGGGCGCAAGCCUGAUGCAGCAACACUGCGUGAAGGAUGAAGGUUUUCGGAUCGUAAACUUCUUUUGUGUGGGAAUAAUCUUGAAGGUACCACACGAAUAAGCACCGGCUAACUACGUGCCAGCAGCCGCGGUAAGCAUACUCGUA